UACGAGGGGUGCAAGCGUUGUUCGGAAUCACUGGGCGUAAAGCGCGUCUAGGCGGCGGAUCAAGUCGGUUGUGAAAGCCUCUGGCUCAACCAGAGAUGUGCAAUCGAUACUGGUCUGCUUGAAUGAUGGAGAGGUGGGCGGAAUUCCGAGUGUAGCAGUGAAAUGCGUAGAUAUUCGGAGGAACACCAGAGGCGAAGGCGGCUCACUGGCCAUCAAUUGACGCUGAAGCGCGAAAGCAUGGGUAGCAAACAGG
rnacentral:rRNA from 1 species